rnacentral:rRNA from 1 species
AGAAAAAUAACCUCGGGAAACUGAGGAUAAUGUUUCAUAGUUGAAUAGGCUUGGAAAAGUUUUUCAAUAAAAGGGAUAAGGAAAAUGGUCCUUAUCUGCUAUAGGAUAGGAUCGUGUUCGAUUAUGGUUGUUGGUGAGGUAAUGGCUCACCAAGCCGAUAAUCGAUAGGGGCCGUGAGAGCGGAAGCCCCGAGAUGGGUACUGAGACAGCGACCCAGGCCUUACGAGGCGCAGCAGGCGCGAAACCUCCACAAUACACGAAAGUGUGAUGGGGUUACCCAAAGUGUUCUUUUAAGAACUGUGGUAGGUGAGUAAUGUUCCCUACUAGAAAGGAGAGGGCAAGGCUGGUGCCAGCCGCCGCGGUAAAACCAGCUCUUCAAGUGGUCGGGAUAAUUAUUGGGCUUAAAGUGUCCGUAGCCGGUUUAGUAAGUUCCUGGUAAAAUCGGGUAGCUUAACUAUCUGCAUGCUAGGAAUACUGUUAUACUAGAGGGCGGGAGAGGUCUGAGGUACUACAGGGGUAGGGGUGAAAUCUUAUAAUCCUUGUAGGACCACCAGUGGCGAAGGCGUCAGACUGGAACGCGCCUGACGGUGAGGGACGAAAGCCAGGGGAGCGAACCGGAUUAGAUACCCGGGUAGUCCUGGCCGUAAACGAUGCAUACUAGGUGAUGGCACGGCCAUGAGCCAUGUCAGUGCCGUAGGGAAACCGUUAAGUGUGCCGCCUGGGAAGUACGGUCGCAAGGCUAA